GAUGAACGCUGGCGGCGUGCUUAACACAUGCAAGUCGAACGGGAUCCAGGCAGCUUGCUGCCUGGUGAGAGUGGCGAACGGGUGAGUAAUGCGUGACCGACCUGCCCCAUACACCGGAAUAGCUCCUGGAAACGGGUGGUAAUGCCGGAUGCUCCGACUCCUCGCAUGGGGUGUCGGGAAAGAUUUCAUCGGUAUGGGAUGGGGUCGCGUCCUAUCAGGUAGUCGGCGGGGUAACGGCCCACCGAGCCUACGACGGGUAGCCGGCCUGAGAGGGCGACCGGCCACAUUGGGACUGAGAUACGGCCCAGACUCCUACGGGAGGCAGCAGUGGGGAAUAUUGCACAAUGGGCGCAAGCCUGAUGCAGCGACGCCGCGUGCGGGAUGACGGCCUUCGGGUUGUAAACCGCUUUUGAUCGGGAGCAAGCCUUCGGGUGA
rnacentral:rRNA from 1 species